GAAAAACAAAAUUUUCUAUGGCCGCCAUCUUGUUUUUCCGCCAUUUUGUUUUUUUUUUACCCACGAUAGAAUUUGACCAAGGUUCAAAUAGGUUUUGUGAAAAAAGAAUGGUUCCAGGUGCGAUAGUUUCGCCAGGCCGUAGGGUGUCUCCCUAAUGCGGAGCAGAUUUUAAAAAUCGAGAAGUAUUUUUAUACUCGACAUGACGUUCCGAUUACAACUCUAUACAUCAUUUUUACCCCCGAGGCAUUUUCAGGAAAAUUGAAAAAUUUGUAUGGCGGCCAUCUUGUUUUUCCGCCAUUUUGAUUUUUUAUCACCAGCGAUUGAAUUUGACCAAGAAUUAAGUAGGUUUAGUGGAAAAAAAAAUGUUCUAUGUUUGAUAGUUUAGCCAGGCCGUAGGGUGUCUCCCUGAUGCGGAGCAGCUAUCGAAAACCCAGACGUAUUUUCAUACUCGACACGACGUUCCGAUCACAUUCCUAUACGUCAUUUUUACCCCCGAGGCAUUUUCAGGAAAAACGAAAAAUUUGUAUGGCGGCCAUCUUGAUUUUCCGCCAUUUUGAUUUUUUUUCACUCAUGAUAGAAUUUGACCAAGAUUUAAAUAUGUUUCGCGAAAGAAAAAUUGCUCCAGGUUUUAUAGUUUUGCCAGGCCGUAGGGUGUCUCCCUGAUGCGGAGCAGUUUUUCAAGAUCGAGAAGUAUUUCCAUACUCAACAAUACGUUCCGAUUACACCCCCAUACACAGUUUUUACCCACGAGACAUUUUCUGGAAAAAUAAAAUUUUGUAUGGCGGCCAUCUUGUUUUUCCGCCAUUUUGAUUUUUUUUCACCGGCGAUUGAAUUUGACCAAGAUUUAAAUAGGUUUUGCGAAAAAAAAAUUGAUCCAGGUAUAAUAGUUGCGCCAGACUGUAGGGUGUCUCCCUGAUGCGGAGCAGUUUUCCAAGAUCUGGAAGUUUUCCCAUACUCACCGGGAGGUCCCGAUCACACCCCCCAUACAUCAUUUUUACCCCCCGACGCUCCUUCUGGGAGAACAACCCUGUCAGUGAGUCAGUGAGUCAGUGAGUCAGUCAGUACAUGGGUUUGUAGCUAUAUAUAAUAUAAUAAUAACUAGAUGUCGCGUGGUUCGCUCGCAGCAAGCUGCUCGCGUGUCUUGUUUUCCCGCCAUUUUUUUACCGCGAUAGAAUUUGACCAAGACUAAAAUAGGUCUCGUGAAAUCAAAAAAGUUCUAGGUGCUAUAGUUUUGCCAGGCUGUAGGGUGUCUCCCUGAUGCGGAGCAGUUUUCCAAGAUGACGUUCCUAUAACACCCCUAUACAUCGUUUUUACACCCGAGACAUUUUCUGGACAAACAAAAAUUUGUAUGGCGGCCAUCUUUUUUUUCGGCCAUUUUGUUUUU